rnacentral:rRNA from 1 species
UGAGGAAUAUUGGACAAUGGUGGCAACACUGAUCCAGCCAUGCCGCGUGUAGGAAGACUGCCCUAUGGGUUGUAAACUACUUUUAUAGAGGAAGAAACCCCGGUAUGUAUACUGGUUUGACGGUACUCUACGAAUAAGGAUCGGCUAACUCCGUGCCAGCAGCCGCGGUAAUACGGAGGAUCCGAGCGUUAUCCGGAAUCAUUGGGUUUAAAGGGUCCGUAGGCGGGCUGAUAAGUCAGGGGUGAAAGUUUGCGGCUCAACCGUAAAAUUGCCUUUGAUACUGUUUGUCUUGAAUUAUUGUGAAGUGGUUAGAAUAAGUAGUGUAGCGGUGAAAUGCAUAGAUAUUACUUAGAAUACCGAUUGCGAAGGCAGAUCACUAACAAUUGAUUGACGCUAAGGGACGAAAGCGUGGGUAGCGAACAGGAUUAGAUACCCGUGUAGUCC